GGGAUUUGCAGAUCGGCGGACUUUUAAUCCGUUGGUCGCGAGUUCGAGUCUCGCACAACCCACCA
rnacentral:tRNA from 2 species